rnacentral:rRNA from 2 species
UGGGGAAUAUUGGGCAAUGGGCGCAAGCCUGACCCAGCAACGCCGCGUGAGGGAAGAAGGUCUUCGGAUUGUAAACCUCUGUCCUAUGGGACGAAAAAAAUGACGGUACCAUAGGAGGAAGCUCCGGCUAACUACGUGCCAGCAGCCGCGGUAAUACGUAGGGAGCAAGCGUUGUCCGGAAUUACUGGGCGUAAAGGGUGCGUAGGCGGCAUUGUAAGUCAGAUGUGAAAUCCCCGGGCUUAACCCGGGACCUGCAUUUGAUACUGCAGUGCUUGAGUACAGGAGAGGAAAGCGGAAUUCCUAGUGUAGCGGUGAAAUGCGUAGAUAUUAGGAAGAACACCAGUGGCGAAGGCGGCUUUCUGGACUGUCACUGACGCUGAGGCACGAAAGCGUGGGGAGCAAACAGG